rnacentral:rRNA from 1 species
UACGGAGGGAGCUAGCGUUGUUCGGAAUUACUGGGCGUAAAGCGCACGUAGGCGGGUUGUUAAGUCGGGGGUGAAGUCCCGGAGCUCAACCCCGGAAUGGCCUUCGAUACUGGCAGUCUUGAGGACUGGAGAGGUGAGUGGAAUUCCGAGUGUAGAGGUGAAAUUCGUAGAUAUUCGGAGGAACACCAGUGGCGAAGGCGACUCACUGGCUCGAUACUGACGCUGAGGUGCGAAAGUGUGGGGAGCAAACAGGAUUAGAUACCCUGGUAGUCCACACCGUAAACGAUGAAUGCCAGUCGUCGGGGCGCUUGCACUUCGGUGACACACCUAACGGAUUAAGCAUUCCGCCUGGGGAGGACGGUCGCAAGAAUAAAACUCAAAGGAAUUGACGGGGGCCCGGACAAGCGGUGGAGCAUGGGGUUUAAUUCCAAGCAACGCGCAAAACCUUACCCACCCUUGACAUCCUGAUCGCGGUUACGAGAGAUGGUCUUCCUUCAGUUCGGCCGGAUCAGUGACAGGUGCUGCAUGGCUGGCGUCAGCUCGUGUCGUGAGAUGUUCGGUUAAGUCCGGCAACGAGCGCAACCCACAUUCUUACUUGCCAGCAGUUCGGCUGGGCACUCUAAGAAAACUGCCCGUGAUAAGCGGGAGGAAGGUGUGGAUGACGUCAAGUCCUCACGCCCCUUACGGGUUGGGCUACACACGUGCUACAAUGGUAGCGACAAUGGGUUAAUCUCAAAAAGCUAUCUCAGUUCGGAUUGGGGUCUGCAACUCGAGGCCAUGAAGUCGGAAUCGCUAGUAAUCGCGUAUCAGCAUGACGCGGUGAAUACGUUCCCGGGCCU